AUGUUUUAUCAGGCUUCGACAAUUCAAGUGUGGAAACAAAAGGCGACGUAACUCUAACGACUUAUGUUGCAGGUAUUAUUAAAGAAACUAAAUUUCAGGUAGUUGAUAUAGAAAUGGCCUAUAAUAUAAUUAUGGGGAGACCAUGGAUCCAUGAUAUGGAUGCUGUUCCAUCAACCUUACAUCAAGUUAUCAAAUUUCCAUCACCCUAGGGAAUAUNNNNNNNNNNNNNNNNNNNNCCUAUAAUAUAAUUAUGGGGAGACCAUGGAUCCAUGAUAUGGAUGCUGUUCCAUCAACCUUACAUCAAGUUAUCAAAUUUCCAUCACCCUGAGAAAUAUGUCAAAUUCGAGGGGAUCAGCAAACAGGCAGGAGUAUCAACGCAGUAACAGAUACGAGUACCGCCUGUAAAGAGAAAUAGCAAUUACUGGAAGCAGUUGAAGGCAUCAGCAACCAAACUUCAAAUGAAAAAAUGGAUUUAGAUUCAAGACCUGAUGUAACUCAAGAACCUGAAGAAAAUGAGAAUAUCAGAACGACAAUAGAGGAACUCGAGACUAUGGUGUUA
rnacentral:lncRNA from 1 species